CACCCCACCGCCGUCCCGCCCCCCCCGAGUGCCCUCCCCGGGAGCGCCCCCCGCGAUCGCGCCCCCCCUCCCCGCAGCCCCGGUGCGGAGCUGCAGCAAAGGUACUUCCCUUCCGACGAGCCUGCUGGAGUGGAAAAGCACAAACGGUGGCUACGCUUUGUCCUUGCAGGCGCGGAGCGGAAUAGCGAGGUCCCUCUUCCUCUCAGAAUGGCUGCAGGUGGCUAUGAGGAAAUCCUCAAGUACUACGAAUUGCGUGAAACAAUUGGGACAGACUCACUGUUACCCCGGAAUCUACAGGCCGUGUUUCAAGCGUGUCUCUCAGGGGACAGAACGCUGUGAGUGGAGGUCGGUAGCAGCGAUCGCUUCUCCCUCUAGCGAAGAUGCUGCGCGCUGUGUGCGCUACGGACUCCAGCGUAACUGAGACUGUAGGCCAGAAAGCGUGACAUCGCUCUUAAGCGUCUCUUGUUUGAAGUCUAGGUGGGUUUGCAAAGGUAAAACUUGCGGAACAUCUUCUCACCGGUGAAAAAGUUGCACUAAAAAUCACGGAUAAACUUGCUCUAGGGGUAAGCCAAAAGAUACUUAACAGUCGGUAGCGUCUUCUGCUGUUCCUGUGGCGUUCUCGAGAACAGAGGGGCGCGACACGUCAGUGCCGCCUGCUUGUCCUGUUGGUUAUCGACUGAUGCUGUAGACUGGGAAGAGCGUUAAUAGAAGACCACAAAUCUUGUGCUCUGUUGUGGAGAGGGCAACCUUCUCUGGCUGUAAAAUUGAGGAAGUUAAAGAUGAUUACAGUAAUUGAAACAGAAUGCUGGUGAGGAUGCUAACUAUUUUACACCUGGCCCUCUGGGUUUUGCUGCUCGGUGUGCCAGAACUGUAGGGCAGUAACAGCAGAGCUGUUGCUGGAUUGAAUCUGAGCAGCUGAAUUGUAUGCUGUCAUCUCCGUGCUGUGAAAUUGUGUGUCUCCCAAUAGCCUGACGCUUGCUGUGACGUCCGGGCUGUCCAGGUAGUCGGCAAUUUCAUACCUUGCUGUUGCCGUCUCUUGGGAUGAUUUGCCUCGUGUUAAGGUAGAAAUUGAGGCCACAAAGGACUUAGGUCACCAGCAUAUUUGCCAGUUGUAUCACGUGAUAGAGACAUCCAGGAAAAUAUUUGUGGUCUUAGAGUACUGUCCUGGAGGAGAGCUGCUUGAUGACGUAAUUUCUAAGGACCGCCUUUCGGAAGAGGAAGCUCGUGUAUUUUUUCGGCAGAUUGUUUCAGCAGUUGCUUACGUUCACAGUCGGGGAUACGCCCACAGGGACCUCAAACCGGAAAAUCUGCUGAUUGAUGAGGAACGUAACUUGAAGCUGAUAGACUUUGGACUUUGUGCAAAGCCAAAGGUGAGAGUAUCAGUCGCUUUCUCAGAGCAGAGCUAAGCCAGCUACUGCAGGCACGUGAGCAAAAGCCAUGUUUGACUUCCGCUUGCAGUGCAGAGACUUGCCCAAAGACCCUAAACUCAAGCUGUUUGCACAGUUUUCAUCCAAUCGCUAAUUACGUGGUGGGGCCUUAACUGUGGGAGAGAGCAGUUAACGGCAUGUUAUGACCAGACUGUUAGAUCGUUUUCUCCUCUUACGCUUCACCUUUUAUCCUAGUCUGAGGCAGAGAUCACCUUGCACGUGUAGCACCUGCUGCCACCUAUAACGGCCCAGAAUAUUAAGCUUAUGUUGGUGUGCAUUUUUCCCUAAUAAGUUUUAAUGGUGUCUGUCUCUUUUCAGAAGAUUUGUGUGUAUGUGGAGAUUGUGGACCGAAUCCCGGUUACGGUUAGGAAUCCUCUGGUUCCACGUGAUUGUAGCAAGUUGUUUCCCGAGUUUAAAAUUGGUUCCUAGGAGACCUUUAAAGCCAUUUGUCAGCUUAACACGUGAGGUGGGUGCUGUUAGGAAACAGUUUAAUGGGCAGGUCUUACUGACCCAAGGACAGUUACUUGUC